AGAGCAGUUAUUUUGGGAUAUCUGAAGAGCAGGAACAUUCCUGGGAUUCUGCAAUAAGCCUCAGAGUUGGGAAAACAGAAUCUGCUAACCAGCAAUGGUUUGGAAGGAGGCUACCGAUCAUCCCCAAAGGCCAAACAUCGUUGCUUUACAUUGUCCUGCUUGGCGGAGCUGCAAAAGCCCAUAACCCACCUAUCUGGGACUCGUGGAGUACCGCUGCCGUAGCGAUGGGCGGACAGCAGCUGUCCUGAUCACACGCGGCACGACCGGGGAUGCUUCCCGCAAUCACAGCCUUGUGCACGACGAGUGUGCGAUCGCCUGACGGGGAAUUCCAGUGGAGAGCACCGUCCCACAGGAGGCUGCCCUGAUGGUCUACCAGCAAGUGUUGCGCUGCUGACGUGCCAUUUUUGGGAGGAGGUGUAACGAGCUAUGUCACCCUGCAGAGCAGGCUGAAAAUAGGAUUGCACUCACUGUGCCAUGUGGCUCAGUGAGAGGGAACUGACCUCCAAAAGAGCAGGGAUGGAAAAAAAAGGAAGAUCAAUGUCUUGGGAAGAAUACAGUCUCUACAGAGCAGCAACAAAAAUGUACCUUGCAGAAUGCAUGUGUGAGGGGAAUAGGGAACUCGGAGAAGAUAGCUCAUUCAGAGAAGAAAGAAAGAAGGAAAAGCAGAUGGUAUGCACUCAUCGGCCUGUCACUUAAUUGAAAAGAAUUAAAAGAACAGUUGCAACCUCUCCAGAGACAACAGGAGAUGCAGAGAAGCAGUCCCUCUGGUUCUUCUCAAACUGUGACAGGCUCUAUGACCUGUGAGAUGGAAAAAGUUUGCACGUCGUCCAGUCAAAGUAUGCAAAAACAGCAGGCCUCCGCUUCCAACAAGGCUGCUCUUCUGUCCCUGGUUGAUGCCAGCUUGUGAGUGAAAGUGUUGCGGUCUGCAAGACACAGAUUGGCCUGACAGGUUGUGGAGAAGGAGAGACAGAGACCACAAGGGUCUUGCUUGUCACUUCAGUGCCCCAGUCUCGCUGGAGCUUCAAGAGGAAUUGUCCUUGCUGAACAGUGACAUCCUGCACCUGGGAUGGAAUAACCACAUGGAACUGUGUAUAGGCUGGAUGCCGACUGGAGAGAAGCUGGUCAGCAGAAAAGGACGUCAGGAUGCUGGUGAGCAACAUCUGAGCAGGAGUCAGCGUGGCUGCCCGUGCACUGCUGAAGGCUAAUGGCAUCCUGCACUGCAUUAGGUAAUGCAUCACAGCAGAGUGAAGUAAGUACCCAAGAGGUGAUGACAAACUGGAGAAGGGCAGGUGGAGUGCCACUGAGAUGGCUGAGGGGACUAUGCUAUUAUGAAGGGUCUGAGAGAGGAGCAUUUAUUCAACCUUGCCCUUGCCAGGCUAAGGAAAAAAGACAGGACUAAACUUUUCUCAGAGGUGCUCAGUGGCAAUAGAUUGAGGUGCAGCAAGGAAAAUUCUGGUUGAUUAGCUAUUAAGAAAAAAUUCUUCACAAGGAGUGGUGCAGCAUCAGAACACAGGCCCAGAGAGGUGACAGAAUAUCCAUUCUUGGAAAUCCUCAAAGCUCAGCUAGACACGGCCCUGAGCAACCUGCUCUGUAUUUGAAGUGGGCCCUGCUGGGAGCAGGAGGUGGGACCAGAUGACCUCUAGAGGAAAGGUCCUUUCUCACCGAAAUUCUCUAUGAUUCUAAUUCGCCUCAUGACAUGUGCGCUAAGAUAUUAAGCACACUUAAUAUAUCAUCACUGGUGUCAGGUAUCAUCAACACUUUCAUCAGCUGGAACGCUGCCGAGCUGACUCAAAUACUGUACAUCUUGUCUAAACGCAAUUAAAAAGGCACAUGGCAGUUUCUGUGUAUCUCAAUUAGCCUUGUACCAUGCAUGUUGACAUUCAAAAUUAGCUGACUUUGGAGGCCUCUUCCCCACUCAAUUCAGAGCUUAUAUUGAUCUUGCCUGGUUUGUUGUAAUACUUACUAAGGCUCACAAAGUAAGGCCCUCCUUCAGAGUCACAUUAACAACAAAUUUGGAUUUUGGGAGAAUCAAAGCAAAGCUCACAGAGUAAAAACCUAAUGAAUCAAAUCCUAAAAGAUUAAUAUUCCUGCAUAAAGCAGCAAACCUCACAGACCUGCCUCUUCUUUCAUUGCUUCGCUCUUAGGAUGUAAGAGGAGCCAGUGGGCAGUGACAUCUCUCCCUCGUUGGCAUCUAUUAUUGUAAUGCUAAGUGCUAGCUCCUAUCACCCCUGUAAUCCUGUUUGGGAAGCUC